UGGCAUACAGAAUUGAUUUUCAUGAAAAUGAGGACAAGAUUGUGCCAUUUUAUGUUGAUUGUUGGUAAACAGGCAGUAAAAUGGUCAAUGGACUUCAGACUGAGGUUCAAUGAAGCACAUGACCACAAGGAAAAGAAGAAACUGUCUUCAUUUCUAAAUUCUGACCAAGUUUUUCCACUAGCUUCCUCCUCUGGAUACCAAUCUAAAAUUAAAUGGUUACCACUCUGUAUUCUUGAAGGUCACUUUCACUUCUAUGCAAAAAUGAAAUAUUCAGUAAAUUGUUUUCACAGAAAUCAAAAGCUGAUGAUUUAUUUAAUGUGUCCUAGAAGAAUCAAUAGCAAUACCUCCAAUCUUGUCAUAUGAUCCUCCAUUUUGAAUAUUAAUUUUCUUGGAAGAGAAAGCUCAAGAAUUGUGGGCGAAACCACCCAAGCAUGAUAAAUGGGUAAAAAAAAUGCAUGCAGUGAAAAAGCUCACUGCAGCUAAUAUUGUUCAC
rnacentral:lncRNA from 1 species